rnacentral:rRNA from 1 species
UACGAAGGGGGCUAGCGUUGUUCGGAAUUACUGGGCGUAAAGCGCGCGCAGGCGGCUAUCCAAGUCAGUGGUGAAAGCCCGGAGCUCAACUCCGGGACUGCCAUUGAAACUGUUUAGCUUGAGUAUGAGAGAGGUGAGUGGAAUUCCCAGUGUAGAGGUGAAAUUCGUAGAUAUUGGGAAGAACACCGGUGGCGAAGGCGGCGACCUGGUCCGAUACUGACGCUGAGGCGCGAAAGCGUGGGGAGCAAACAGGG